rnacentral:rRNA from 1 species
AAUACGUAGGGGGCAAGCGUUGUCCGGAAUCAUUGGGCGUAAAGCGCGUGUAGGCGGCCAGAAAAGUCCGCUGUGAAAACUCGAGGCUCAACUUCGAGCUGUCGGUGGAAACUUUCUGGCUAGAGUCCGGAAGAGGAGAGUGGAAUUCCUGGUGUAGCGGUGAAAUGCGCAGAUAUCAGGAAGAACACCCGUGGCGAAGGCGGCUCUCUGGGACGGUACUGACGCUGAGACGCGAAAGCGUGGGGAGCGAACAG